GACGAACGCUGGCGGCGUGCCUAACACAUGCAAGUCGAACGGAAAGGCCCUGCUUUUGUGGGGUGCUCGAGUGGCGAACGGGUGAGUAACACGUGAGUAACCUGCCCUUGACUUUGGGAUAACUUCAGGAAACUGGGGCUAAUACCGGAUAGGAGCACCUGCUGCAUGGUGGGGGUUGGAAAGUUUCGGCGGUUGGUGAUGGACUCGCGGCUUAUCAGUCUGUUGGUGGGGUAGUGGCUUACCAAGGCUUUGACGGGUAGCCGGCCUGAGAGGGUGACCGGCCACAUUGGGACUGAGAUACGGCCCACACUCCUACGGGAGACAGCAGUGGGGAAUAUUGCACGAUGGGCGGAAGCCUGAUGCAGCAACGCCGCGUGCGGGAUUACGGCCUUCGUUUUGUAGACCGCUUUCGCCUGUGACGAAGCGUGAGUGACGGUAAUGGGUAAAGAAGCACCGGCUAACUACGUG
rnacentral:rRNA from 1 species